ensembl:processed_transcript
GACAGUGGGCGGGACUAAGGGGGCCACCUGCAGACACACCCUGGCUUCUGCGGGACCGGUCUUCCUUCUCUUCCCCCUCAGGGCCUAGAGGAGGCCACGCGCGGGGUCUCCGAGCUCUAGGGUCCGGAGCUCUAGGGUCCUUUUAUGUAGCAAAGUCAGGCCUGGGAACAGAACUUCAUGUGCUUGUAAAAAGUCUCAGGUGCGUCCUUCGUUGUUUUAGAGACUUGGAGAGGAAUGGGGGCGGGGGGAACAAAAUCCGAGGACAGUCGAGCCAAGAAAAGUCAGGGCUUCUAGGAUGCCAACCACGCCAAACAGAUCAAAACCAGGACUGGAGGAUUGAAGAUGAAGCCGGCAAAAAGUCACCAGCCACGGCUCUUGUAAGGUAUGCUUCACCUCUCCUGCUAAGUCUUCAUCCCUGUCUAUGAGGACAAAGAAGUUACGGGUUAAAUUGGCGAUGGGCCAGGUGCUCCUUGAGGAUGCUCUAAAGUUCCAGGGAAUCUGAUGCCUUCUUCUAACCAUCACGAAGACAAGUUGGUGAUAGAAAAUGGGAGAACUGAAGACAACCACUUUAUAAAACCCUUGCCUGCUUGAAUUUGUGGUGAUG